UGCCUUCUGUAUCCAUGUUGAGAUUUCGUCAGACACGAGACCACAAGGGUUGAUGUGACUUCCAAUAUAAGUGAAGUG
rnacentral:pre_miRNA from 1 species